GACGAACGCUGGCGGCGUGCUUAACACAUGCAAGUCGAACGGGUCGGCCCUGUUUUUGCCGGGGUGGGUAGGUGGGAACGGGGGGGUUAAACGGUGGGAAACCUGCCCUCAACUCCUGGUAACCCGCUGGAAAGGGUGCUUAUACGGGGGUGUCUUGCUUGUCCGGCAUGGUGGGGUGGGGAAAGAUUCAUUUUGGGGGUGUUUUGGUGGGGGUUGGGCUCGCGGCCUAUCAGCUUGUUGGUGGGGUGAUGGCCUGCAAAGGCUUUGACGGGUGGCCGGCCUGAGAGGGUGGGCGGUCACACUGGGACUGAGAUACGGCCCAGACUCCUGCGGGAGGCAGCAGUGGGGGGUAUUGCACAAUGGGCGGAAGCCUGAUGCAGCGACGUCGCGUGAGGGAUGGAGGCCUUCGGGUUGUGAACCUCUUUCGCCGGUGAAGAAGGUCCUGCUCUUUGUGGUGGGGUUGACGGUAGCCGGGUUAUGAAGCGCCGGCUAACUACGUG
rnacentral:rRNA from 1 species